rnacentral:rRNA from 1 species
GGCGAACGGGUGAGUAAUAUAUCGGAACGUACCGAGUAAUGGGGGAUAACUAAUCGAAAGAUUAGCUAAUACCGCAUAUUCUCUGAGGAGGAAAGCAGGGGACCUUCGGGCCCUGCGUUAUUCGAGCGGCCGAUAUCUGAUUAGCUAGUUGGUGGGGUAAAGGCCUACCAAGGCGACGAUCAGUAGCGGGUCUGAGAGGAUGAUCCGCCACACUGGGACUGAGACACGGCCCAG